rnacentral:rRNA from 1 species
UGGGGAAUAUUGCACAAUUGGGGAAACCCUGAUGCAGCGACGCCGCGUGAGCGAAGAAGGUUUUCGAUUCGUAAAGCUCUGUCCUAUGAGAAGAUAAUGACGGUAUCAUAGGAGGAAGCCCCGGCUCAAUACGUGCCAGCAGCCGCGGUAAUACGUAUGGGGCGAGCGUUGUCCGGUAUUAUUGGGCGUAAAGGGUACGUAGGCGGUCUAUUAAGUCAGGUGUGAAAGCGUGAGGCUUAACCUCAUUAAGCACUUGAAACUGAUAGACUUGAGUGAAGGAGAGGAAAGUGGAAUUCCUAGUGUAGCGGUGAAAUGCGUAGAUAUUAAGAGGAAUACCGGUGGCGAAGGCGACUUUCUGGACUUUUACUGACGCUCAGGUACGAAAGCGUGGGGAGCAAACAGG